ACUGACCUCAUGUGAUGGUGCAGCAGGCGUUUCCUGUGGCUUUCAGCAUAUUUCUGUGCCUGGCCUUUCUGCGGGUUUUCGAGAUGCAGCGUGAGAACAGUCUCAUCUUUUGCUCUUUGCACCUAAUUCACUACUAAAUUACUCCUCUGUCAUACCCUGAGGGAAAACCCAUCAGGUUACUUUUUCCAGAACACUGGAUUAUUAUUUCUAGGGAAAGCUACUUCUGAAAGAUAGCAAACUUUCUGUGUCUCCAAACUUUACUUGCUAUUAUGAACACAGUGCUCAUUUGUAUGGAUUUGUAUGAGCCUAUUAUUUAUAUUCAACAGUGCUACCUAUUUCUACAGUGGAAUGAAAAGAAAAAACUUACAAGAUGGCUGGGGAGGGUAAGCAGACAAUGUUACUUCAUCUAGACAAGGGUAACCUUUUGUCUUUUUUUUUUUUUUUCCCGUGCAAGGAAGGGAUAGGGGUCUACUGAAUCCUUAUCCCGAUUUCUAGUUAGGAGCUCUAAGCAGCUUCCUUUGACAGACAGGUAAGCAAUUUCUGGGAAACAACAGGCAGCAUUACCCUGGCAGGGCUAAAGCCAUUUCAUACGAGAUAAAUGGAGACAGAGCAGCAGACUUGCAGAAGAUGAGGGAUACGACUGUGAUGCUACAUCGAAUAAUAUGGCUGAGAGAACAUGUGGAGGAGGGGAAUGCAAUGCAGGACUGCUUUCUAGCAAGGAAUGACAGCUCAUCUGCCUCCUGUAAAUAGAAUCAGCAGUGGUGGACAAAACAAUAUUUUAUUUUUGAAUGUAUCUGAAAUAAACAUGUACAUAAUUUU